rnacentral:ncRNA from 2 species
GUUAAUUUGCAAUUUUUAGGUAUUAAUGGGGUAUUCUCAUUAAUUUAAAAGGGAAACAGGUUAGAAUCCUGUACGGUCCCGCCGCUGUGUUGAGGAGCCUUUAUACAUUUUGCCACUGGUUUUCAUUUAAAAACUGGGAAGGAGUAUAAAGAUGAUGAAUCUAAGUCAGAAGACCUGCCUAAAAAUUCAGCGCUUU